rnacentral:rRNA from 1 species
UCCUACGGGGGGCAGCAGUGGGGAAUAUUGCACAAUGGGGGGAACCCUGAUGCAGCGACGCCGCGUGGGUGAAGGAGUACUUCGGUACGUAAAGCCCUAUCAGCAGGAAAGAAAAUGACGGUACCUGACUAAGAAGCCCCGGCUAACUACGUGCCAGCAGCCGCGGUAAUACGUAGGGGGCAAGCGUUAUCCGGAUUUACUGGGUGUAAAGGGAGCGUAGACGGCAGUGCAAGUCCGGAGUGAAAGCCCGGGGGCCCAACCCCU